AUCCUUUUUUGUAUCCAACAGGCUGUAAAGCACAGACCGUGACGCUUUUGGGCCUGGAAAGAAAACGGGAGAGUCAGGGUCUCCCUACACCCCCUCUUCAAUUAAACUCAGGCCUUCAGGUCUGAGAAAGGCCACAGUAGAGAGGGGGAAGGGCCUGAUGUCGGUGUCUGCGAGGGAGCUGAACGAGCUAUCUCACUGUAACACCUGCCAAGAAAUACAAAGGACUUCUAGAUGACGAACAGCCUUCCUCCUACGCAUCCUCAUCAAGCCCAUGCGAUGCUGCACCUCGUGUCCUCCAACAGGGAACCGAAAGACGUUAUGUUUGUAUAACAAAAAAAAGAAGGUUUCAUGCUUUUUUUAACGACAUCUAAACCCCGGGCUCUUCCAGCUAGGGGCUUGUGUUUCUGGCUUUAAAAAUAGAAAAUGAUUAACAUUAGCUGCCCUUCUCUGGCAUGUGUACUGACCCUAUAAGAAGGGUAGUAUUGCUAAUGGUUCUGACAGUGUGUGUGAAAACAUCGAGGGCAACCUGGCCUCAGGAGAGAACGAUGCCAGUCUCUGUUAGCAUGGACACGGCCGGUAGCCCACACAUACCACAUGUCAUGACUUACCUAACGAAGUGGUUAUAACACUCAUGGCUGUGUGCUGUUGUUAAGGGUUGGCAGUGGCAGCAACAUUGUGGUAUUCUACAUGAUGGGG
ensembl:lncRNA